CGAACCACACAAACGUUAUUCGGAAUUACUGGGCUUAAAGGGUGCGUAGGCUGCGCAGAAAGUUGGGUGUGAAAUACCUCGGCUCAACCGAGGAACUGCGCCCAAAACUACUGUGCUCGAGGAAGAUAGAGGUAAGCGGAACUUACGGUGGAGCGGUGAAAUGCGUUGAUAUCGUAAGGAACACCUGUGGCGAAAGCGGCUUACUGGGUCUUUUCUGACGCUGAUGCACGAAAGCUAGGGGAGCAAACGGGAUUAGAUACCCCGGUAGUCCUAGCCGUAAACUAUGAGUACUGAAUUGAAGGGUCCCUCAUAGCCCUUCAGUUGUAGCGAAAGUGUUAAGUACUCCGCCUGGGGAGUAUGGUCGCAAGGCUG
rnacentral:rRNA from 1 species